rfam:Gossypium arboreum cultivar AKA8401 contig_10103_3, whole genome shotgun sequence.
AAUAGUUUUAUGCCACAUCAGUACUCUUAUCCUGAAUUUCAGGAUUUUAUCAUGAAAAAAAUCAAAUCCAAAUUAAAAUACUAAAAUUCAGGAUAAAAUCCUGAAAUUCAGGAUAAGAAUACUGAUGUGGCAUAAAACUAUU